UUCAAGAUAAUUUGUUGCGGAGCAGGAAAACAUUUUUCUGCAUAAAGAGGGGAACCAUGUGAAAAUCAUGGGCUGACAGGCAACUGUGACCCGGAGGGAGUGAUAAGUUGUAAGUUUUAAGUUAUAAGUAAGGUGAACACUUACUACUUAGAACUUAAAACCUAUAACUCCACCAGGCUAGCCAGGCUACCGGCCGCAAUAAUUAUUGUUUG
rnacentral:ncRNA from 2 species